rnacentral:lncRNA from 1 species
UAUUUUAUAGGUGUAGAAUUGUGGGAAACGACAAUCCAAUGAGGACCCAAGUGUGGUCGCGCAGGAGGGAGAAAUUUCUUUGGGAAGAGCAGCAUCUCAUCGGCUGACGCUCAUCAGAAUGUCGAAGAUUCCAUUGUUGUGGAAGGCAGGUGAUGCACUUCGUGUCUUCCUGUGACGCAAAAGGAACUUGCUCUCAGUUCUGGAGAGACACGGUUAGUGGAUCGUUGGUGCUAAUCACAAAUAAAAGUUAAGUUGGCCUUCUCCUGAUCGAUUUCUUCAACGGAUGCAUGGACAUAUGGAUGCUCGUCUUUGCCGUGGCCACGUCUUGCCGAAGUAGAGACGUUGUGAGGCCGUCUGGGUCGAGGGCCGUGGCCCGCGAACGCCGUUGCCCGUAUGCGUGAAGUUGUAGAGCCUACGCGUCCCCUCACUGUGAAGGGCCUUGGUUGCGUAUGCUUCCAUGAAAAACAAAACAACGGUGAAUCGUUCAUGACUGAGCGUGAGUUCCUCUAGAAAGGACAAAACCCAAAUCAAUUUUGUGUUCCUAAUCGAUUUCUUCCUGGAUGGGGCACGCAUAUCCAUGCCGACGACACUCUGGAGGCAUUUCAUGCUAGUUCGUGGUCCUUUUUUUUGGCAAAGCCCGAUACAACCAUAUGCCCUUGUUGCCCUGCCGUCAGGUGUGCAAGUUCGGCGCCGCUGCCUUUGUUGCAAGAGAUAAUUCGCCUAUGGUCUUCUCUGUUUUAGCCUAUCUCUCUAAUGGAGAUCAAAGUACAUGAUAACGUGUUUGAAGGAGAAAGUAAAGAACGAGAGACAUGAAUAAAGA